GACGUAGGGCGCGAGCGUUGUCCGGAUUUAUUGGGCGUAAAGAGCUCGUAGGCGGCUUGUCGCGUCGACUGUGAAAACCCGCGGCUCAACCGUGUGGUCUGCAGUCGAUAUGGGCAGGCUAGAGUUCGGUAGGGGAGACUGGAAUUCCUGGUGUAGCGGUGAAAUGCGCAGAUAUCAGGAAGAACACCUAUGGCGAAGGCAGCUCUCUGGGACGGUACUGGACGCUGAGACGCGAAAGCGUGGGGAGCGAACAGG
rnacentral:rRNA from 1 species